GUUAAAACAGUGAUGAGAAGGAGUAAAUUAAUGUUGGUUCUAAAGAGAGUCUGAAUCGGUGCAAACAGACGUUCCAACCUAAUUGAAAUGCGUCUCGGAGUUACAUUGUCGAAUCAAGUAGACAAUUGUCGGUUCACAUCCGUUAAUGUGUCUGAGGUAGGAACUUUUUGAAGUGCCUAUAAAAAAAAGUGGAACCACGCAAAAGCGUCUUUUAA
rfam:Carnobacterium divergens DSM 20623 NODE_28, whole genome shotgun sequence.